rnacentral:rRNA from 1 species
UACGGGGGGAGCAAGCGUUGCUCGGAAUCACUGGGCGUAAAGCGCACGUAGGCGGGUUCUUAAGUCGGAGGUGAAAUCCUGGAGCUCAACUCCAGAACUGCCUUCGAUACUGAGAAUCUCGAGUUCGGGAGAGGUGAGUGGAACUGCGAGUGUAGAGGUGAAAUUCGUAGAUAUUCGCAAGAACACCAGUGGCGAAGGCGGCUCACUGGCCCGAUACUGACGCUGAGGUGCGAAAGCGUGGGGAGCAAACAGG